rnacentral:misc_RNA from 1 species
GAUGAAGAACGUAGCGAAAUGCGAUAAGUAAUGUGAAUUGCAGAAUUCAGUGAAUCAUCGAAUCUUUGAACGCACAUUGCGCCCCCUGGUAUUCCGGGGGGCAUGCCUGUUCGAGCAUCAUUUCACCACUCAAGCCUCGCUUGGUAUUGGGCAACGCGGUCCGCCGCGUGCCUCAAAUCGUCCGGCUGGGUCUUCUGUCCCCUAAGCGUUGUGGAAACUAUUCGCUAAAGGGUGUUCGGGAGGCUACGCCGUAAAACAACCCCAUUUCUAAGGUUGACCUCGGAUCAGGUAGGGAUACCCGCUGAACUUAAGCAUAUCAAUAAGCGGAGGA